UACGUAGGUGGCAAGCGUUGUCCGGAUUUACUGGGCGUAAAGAGCGCGCAGGCGGUCGGAUAAGUCGAAUGUGAAAGCCCCCGGCUCAACUGGGGAGGGUCAUUCGAUACUGUUCGACUCGAAGGCAGGAGAGGGAAGUGGAAUUCCCGGUGUAGUGGUGAAAUGCGUAGAUAUCGGGAGGAACACCAGUGGCGAAGGCGAGUCCCUGGACAACACCUGACACUGAGGCACGAAAGCUAGGGGAGCAAACAGG
rnacentral:rRNA from 1 species